AGAGUUUGAUCAUGGCUCAGGAUGAACGCUAGCGGGAGGCCUAACACAUGCAAGCCGAGCGGUAGAGAUUCUUCGGAAUCUUGAGAGCGGCGUACGGGUGCGGAACACGUGUGCAACCUACCUUUAUCUGGAGGAAAGCCUUUCGAAAGGAAGAUUAAUACUCCAUAAUAUAUUGAUUGGCAUCAAUUGAUAUUGAAAGCUCCGGCGGAUAGAGAUGGGCACGCGCAAGAUUAGUUAGUUGGUGAGGUAACGGCUCACCAAGACGAUGAUCUUUAGGGGCCUGAGAGGGUGAUCCCCCACACUGGUACUGAGACACGGACCAGACUCCUACGGGAGGCAGCAGUGAGGAAUAUUGGUCAAUGGGUGCAAGCCUGAACCAGCCAUCCCGCGUGAAGGACGACUGCCCUAUGGGUUGUAAACUUCUUUUGUAUAGGGAUAAACCUACCCUCGUGAGGGUAGCUGAAGGUACUAUACGAAUAAGCACCGGCUAACUCCGUG
rnacentral:rRNA from 1 species